GGAGCUUCAAGCUCCGAUUAACCGGAGCAAAUCCAGUCGCGACUCAGUCCCCUUCCCCUUCCCCUUGACGAGUUUGGUUUGUUUUGCAGGUGUAAGAUCUCCAUCUCCGACGUGACUCCAACACCGGUGAGCGACAAUCAGAUCUGGCUUGAAUUGUGACCUAUUCUGUCUUACCAUUGAAGAAAUAAAGCUCAAAUGAAGGUCUGUUCAUUUUCUUUUUCCAUUAAUAUUCUUCCUUUUUAUUGUUCUGUUUCUUUUCAAUAAUGAUAUGAUCUUUGGUAUCUUAAUUAGUUGUUAGUGUCUGAUUUCUUUAAAAUCCUUCUGUUGACACCCAAUUUUGGCCAACAUUUUCAAAAUUCGUAACUUUUAAGUUUUAUUUAUUUAAUAGUUCAAAAUAAUUUUUUUAAUAAGUUUAUCGAUAACUAUCCUUAUUUAUCAAAAUUUAGGAUUUUUUAUCAGUUAAUUUUAAAAUUGCAUUUUUACAAGUCAUUAGUUACGUUCAUUAUUUUUUUUUAUAUUCAUUUUAUUCGUUAUAUUUAUUAAUACUCAUUCUGAUAGUUUGCACAAUCUAGAAAUUCAUUCAAAUACAGAUAUUUUAUUUGAUCGAUAAUUUUGGGCCACAAUCCCAAGCCCACAAAUUGAGCCCAAUUAACAAUUAUUUCCUAUAUAAGUUUUGGUUAGGUUAAAAAAUAGGGGUGGUGAAAUAAAAAUUAGGGUGGGUGUAUAAUUUUCAGAAUGAGUAUGGAUGUAUUUUUUCCUUUUUUGAGCCGCCAAGGUCUCACCACAGCCAUCCAAAAACCCACUUCGUCCUCUUUUCCGGCGAGACUCCAUCAGAACCAACCCACAACAACUCCAAACAAAUCCAAAACCACCAAAAGACCAUUGUCCUCCCUUACUACAUGCUACGGUUCACUGACUAGGGAAGCCAUUGACACCGCUCCGAAGAAACAACCAUUUUCCCUCUUCUGUUUAUUUCUCUUGCGGCUAGCUCUGGUGAGGAGCUUCAAGCUCCGAUUAACCGGAGCAAAUCCAGUCGCGACUCAGUCCCCUUCCCCUUCCCCUUGACGAGUUUGGUUUGUUUUGCAGGUGUAAGAUCUCCAUCUCCGACGUGACUCCAACACCGGUGAGCGACAAUCAGAUCUGGCUUGAAUUGUGACCUAUUCUGUCUUACCAUUGAAGAAAUAAAGCUCAAAUGAAG
rnacentral:lncRNA from 1 species